UCGAGAAUCUUCGUCAAUGGGCGAAAGCCUGAACGAGCGACGCCGCGUGCGGGAUGAAGGCCUUUGGGUUGUAAACCGCUGUCGAGGGGGAUGAAGGCUGGAGGGUACUCCUUCCAGUUUGACAGAGCCCUGGAGGAAGCACGGGCUAAGUUCGUGCCAGCAGCCGCGGUAAUACGAACUGUGCGAACGUUAUUCGGAAUCACUGGGCUUACAGGGUGCGUAGGCGGCUCAACAAGUCAGGUGUGAAAGCCCCCGGCUCAACCGGGGAACUGCGCUUGAAACUGUUGGGCUCGAGUCAGCUAGAGGUACACGGAACUUCCAGUGGAGCGGUGAAAUGUGUUGAUAUUGGAAGGAACACCGGAGGCGAAAGCGGUGUACUGGGGCUGGUCUGACGCUGAGGCACGAAAGCCAGGGGAGCGAACGG
rnacentral:rRNA from 1 species